UGAACACUAAGCACAAAGGGAUGCCAAUUGUCCUUAAGAAUUCCAGUUUUGGUGCAGGUGGAAAGUGGGAAUCUUGGCUCCAAGGAAUGAACAGUGGCACAGAUGGCAGAGAACAUGGCAUCAACACUUUUGAGAUGCCAAGUAGGUCAUCCAGUCUAGCUGUGCCAUCAGUUUCUGCAGACCAGACUGGAGGAAUCGCAAGCUGCACAGUGAGCAGAGCCCACGAUGAUGCCACUUCUGGACGAGUAUCUCUGC